AUCCCCACCUGGUGGGUCUCCCUACCGGGUGUCAGGACCAGGGUCCAGUGUGGAGAGCCAUUCGUCCUGAGAAACAGGGUGCUGCUGCAAAGGGGGCCUCCCUCUCACCUCUCACGCUGAAUGCAGCAGGUUCAGGUAGAACCUGGCACUAAACCAUUCAUAGAGGACAUGCUUCUGGGUCAGGGUUUCAUAUGUAGCAAAGCAGCUCCCUCGCUGCCAUCUAUUGAUCAAAUGCCUUUGGAACAAGAGGUGGAGCUCUCAGCUCCUCUAGUACCCUGCUGCCUGGACACUGCCAUGUUCCCUUGAUGAUAAUGGACUGAACCUCUGAACCUGUAAGCCAGUCCCAAUUAAAUGUUGUCCUUUAUAAGAGUUGCCUUGGUCAUGGUGUCUGUUCACAGCAUAACACCCUAACUAAGACACUCAGAAAUCUUAGACAAUAGGUAUUGGUCCCACUCCACAGACCAGAAAAAAAUGAGCCUUGAGGAUGUUAGGCAAAUUGCCCAAGAGCUCAGAAGUUUGCCCAGGCAUUUGCUUCUGACACAGUAGUUAAUUGGUCUAUCACACAGCUUUCUGGCACUGCCUGUCCUUCCAGCCCUUUAGGAACCCAGUGACCUUGGUCAGGUCACUGCCUUGCUUUACACUGGAGAUGAGGCUGGGCACUAUGCUGCCUUUGUGAGCUCACAUGGGUCUAACAUUCUACAACCCUAAAAAAUCAAUUACUCUCUCCACCAGGCUUGGUAGAUCAGCGCUCUCGGUUGAAGGACUUGUGGCUUACUGUGGCUGUGGUUGUGAUUAACAAGAGGCAAAAGGUUCUCUUUCAGGCAGGAGGUGUGGCUCGGUGGUAGCAUAGGCACUGAGUACGUGCCAGGCCUGGAGACUGAUGCCCAGUACUGCAAAAGGAAAAGCAUCCUAAUAGAAUAAGCCUAAUGAAUGAAGAAAUCCAUCUGACAGCUGGAGGAAGUUUUGUUUUGUCUUUUUGAGACAGGAUCUUCCUAUGUAACCCAGGUUAACCUUGAACUCAGAAAGCUACUUGCUUCUGCCUCCUAGGUGUUGAGAUUAAAGGUGUGCACCACCAUGCCCAUGGAGGAAGGUUUAAAGAAAACAACUUACAAAGAAGAAGGAGAGGGUGAGGAGUGUGCAGGGAUGUGGGGCAGCUUUGGACAGCCCACGCAGCUGACACGAUUUGCCUCAUGCUCUAGCAGAAGCAUGCUUGGGCCGGAUGCAGAUUGAUUCCUGCGAUUGUGUUAUGUUUGGAAUUCCGGAAGCUUUUCAGAGGGUUUACAAAUGCUAGGGCCCCAAGAGAGGCAGUGGGGGAUGGGGGCAGGGAGUGAAAGUGUUCCUUUAGGGAGGUUAGUUGUGUUUUGUCAGUAGCCUUGUCAAAGAAAAAACAAAAGAAAUUAGAUUCAAGGGUUUUCCUAAUUCCUCUCUCCCCUUGUUUUUCUCCUAUCUAGUGUAAGGGCUUGAAACUGGGGUAGGGAAAAGAAGAACCCACAAAGUAACAAUGACCAGCUCCAGAAGAGGGGCUGAAAGAAAGCUAAGAGACACCAGUCAAAGAGUGCUGUGACAUGCUGGAAUUGGGACUUGUCACGGGCACUGCCAGUGUGGUUACCUGCACAAGGCCAGGCAGAGUCCCAACAGGCAGCAGGUGGUGGGCCCAGUGGGCUAUUAACAGAAACAAAGAAGACAUAAAAGAGUGUGGCCACGUUGGGGAAAUCCCUGGGAAUGGUGUGAGGGGUUCUGGGAGAGUUAGGAGGGGGAAUCCCGGUGCUCAAGAUGCACUGUUUGCAGGCCAAAGAAUAAAUAAAAGAUAUUAUCC
rnacentral:lncRNA from 1 species